rnacentral:rRNA from 1 species
CUAUAUAUUCAUUCGAAUAUACAUUUCUAACCCCUUGUCUAAACCACCUGUUGCUUCCGGCUGUUUGGGCUGUAUAGUUAGCUGUAUAGCCUGGCCGGAAGGUUAACAUAAAAUAUUGUAUUUAGAGUCUUCUGAAUUUUAAAAUAAAAGUUAAAACUUUCAACAACGGAUCUCUUGGUUCUCGCAUCGAUGAAGAACGCAGCGAAAUGCGAUAAGUAGUGUGAAUUGCAGAAUUCAGUGAAUCAUCGAAUCUUUGAACGCACAUUGCGCCUUCCGGUAUUCCGGAAGGCAUGCCUGUCCGAGCGUCAUCAAAAACCACUCAAGUAGUUUUGCUUGGUUAUGAAAGAAGAGUUUGCUUGCAAAUUCCCUUUCGAAAUUCAAUGGCGGAGAGUCUCAUGAUUCCGGCGUAGUAAUAACUUAUUCGCUUGGUCAUUGUGACAAUCCUGCCUCAAACCCCCAAUUCUAAUGUUUGACCUCGGAUCAGGUCAGG